GUCUUCGCUUAGGAAGAGUUGAACAAUCAAUAUGUGUGGUUGUCUCCAUUUUCUUCCAGAGCUGUAGUGCAUUCACAUGUUUGUUGGAAGUGCCUGUUUCCCAGAUAGUGACAUUUCUCUGAAAAAUCAGUGUGCAAAUUUUUCACCAACUUGACCAUUUGACUUGAAUAAAAUAGGAAAUCUGUUGACCCGCUAUGAGCACGUGAAUGCACAUUUACUCUGUUCAUAUUAACAAGGCUAUGUUCUUAUGGCCUGUGUGUGAAGUGUGCUGUCAGGGGUUCUCGAUAAGUUGUAAGGUUGUGCCAAGACCCUUUCACUUAAGCCAGGGAUGUUCAGUCUUAUCCAAAAGGGCUGCUGUGGGUGCAGGUUUUUGUUUCAGCUCAGCUCCAAGACACCUGAUUGUACUUACCAAGGGCCUGAUUGAAGACCAUGAUUAGUUAAUGAGAAGAAUCAGCUGUCUUAGAGCUGAAACAAAAACCUGCACCCACAGCAGCCUUUUUUGGAUUAGAUUGGACAACAAACAAAUCAUUGAGGAUCUUAAAAACAAUCAAUAUGAAGUAUAAUAUUGGCAAUUUCAUAAGUUGUUGCUGUGCCAACCUUUCGCUAUUUUGAGAGAACUCCGUUUAAAUCUCAGGUGUCAAACUCCAGUCCUGGAGGGCUGCAGUGUCUGCUGGUUAUUUGAGUGUUCUUGGCAUUAGUGGUUAACUUAAGUCACUGAUUGCCUAAAGGAUCCACACAAACUGUUCUCAAGGCCUUAAUUGGCAGCUGAUUGAAAGGAAACCACAGAAAUCUGCAGACACUAUAGUCCCCUGGGAAUUUAGUCAGACACCUCUGGUUUAAAUUGUGCCUUUAAUAUGCUGAAUCAUAGCUGAUCUUGCCAAAUUUUGGAAUUCUCAACAUUUUUUUUUAACUGCUCUUGACGGUGAUGCCUAGAAUCCUGUGUAUUUAACAUUACUUUGUGCUUCUUAAAUCAACAGGGAUCUUGCUAAGAGUAUAAGUCCAGGGGACUGGUUGGAAAAUACUGGCUUUGAGUUGGAGGGGUUUCCAACUCAAGACUUUGGAUGUGACUGUGGAAACUUCAUGUUGAUGUUUGAUAUGCCCUCUUUAUGAAAACAGUGAUGCCUCCUUCAAAUGGAGAACUUUGAACUGGACAGGCUGCCAUUUCAGCGAAGUCAAGCCAGAAGGACUGUAUGGCAGGCGACCUCAAAGUUUGUGCUUAUCAGUGCUCAGAAGACACAGGAAGAGGCUGCUGUAUCCAGACGUGCAGACCAUUGAAUGGGUGCAAUGCUGCAAAUGUAAAGGGUGGCGCCACACAGACUGUGCUGGUCUAUCCCAUCCUCAUUUGAGGGCUGAGACAUUCUGUUGUGGAUGUGAUGCUAGCAACACCUGCAAUAGAACAAUUGAAUUGCUGGACGUGCAUGGUGUCCAGGGUCUGUUAUCCACAGAUGAAAUAAAGGUCAUCAUCAGAAUUUUGGAGAAAUGUGAGGGCUUCAGCUGCUAUCAGGCAGAAUGUGCUAUUGCCAGUGGAAUUAAAUUCACAAAUAAAGGCUGAAGACAUGUGA